rnacentral:rRNA from 1 species
UACGUAGGUGGCAAGCGUUGUCCGGAUUUACUGGGCGUAAAGAGCGCGCAGGCGGUCGUCCAAGUCGCGUGUGAAAGCCCCCGGCUCAACUGGGGAGGGUCACGCGAUACUGGUCGACUCGAAGGCAGGAGAGGGUAGUGGAAUUCCCGGUGUAGUGGUGAAAUGCGUAGAUAUCGGCAGGAACACCCAGGGGGAAACCAGCCGCCUGGACAAGCGCUGACGCUGAGGUGCGAGAGCGUGGGGAGCGAACCGG